UAAAUAAUCUUAGUGUUAGGUGACCCCUAUACGGGGUUGAAAAGGGAAUCGGGUGCAAGUCCCGAACGGUCCGGCCACUGUAAAUGGCGAGCUGGUUUCUAAAGGCCACUGGAGCAAGUCUGGGAAGGUUGAAACCGCGUUGACCCAUAAGUCAGGAAACCUGCCUACUAUAUUUUCUGUGC
rnacentral:ncRNA from 2 species